rnacentral:rRNA from 1 species
UACUAAAGGUGCAAGCGUUAAUCGGAAUUACUGGGCGUAAAGCGCGCGUAGGUGGUUUGUCAAGUUGGAUGUGAAAGCCCAGGGCUCAACCUUGGAAUAGCAUCCAAAACUGGCUCACUAGAGUACGAGAGAGGUUAGUGGAAUUUCCUGUGUAGCGGUGAAAUGCGUAGAGAUGGGAAGGAACACCAGUGGCGAAGGCGACUGACUGGCUCGAUACUGACACUGAGGUGCGAAAGCGUGGGGAGCAAACGGG